GACGAACGCUGGCGGCGUGCCUAAUACAUGCAAGUAGGACGCAGUUGCGAACGGGUGAGUAACGCGUAGGUAACUACCUAUUAGAGGGGGAUAACUAUUGGAAACGAUAGCUAAUACCGCAUACUAGUAGAUGGACCUGCGUUGUAUUAGCUAGUAGGUAGGGUAAUGGCCUACCUAGGCAACGAUACAUAGCCGAGUGUAGAAGUAGAUCGGCCACACUGGGACCGGGACACGGCCCAGACUCCUACGGGAGGCAGCCGUAGGGAAUUUUCGGCAAUUGGGGGAAACCUGACCGAGCAACGCCGCGUGAGUGAAGAAGGUUUUCGGAUCGUUAAGCUCUGUUGUUAAGGAAGCGGUACUUACACAGAAAGGGACGGCUAACUACGUGCCAGCAGCCGCGGUAAUAC
rnacentral:rRNA from 1 species